AAGCUCGUAGUUGAAUUUCGGGGUUAAUAGGUUGGUCAUGCCUCUGGUAUGUACUGGUCUCACUGAUUCCUCCUUCCUUAUGAACCGUAAUGCCAUUAAUUUGGUGUUGCGGGGAAUUUGGACUGUUACUUUGAAAAAAUUAGAGUGUUUAAAGCAAGCUAACGCUUGAAUACAUUAGCAUGGAAUAAUGAAAUAGGACGUUCGAUCUUAUUUUGUUGGUUUCUUAGGAUUGACGUAAUGAUUAAUAGGGAUAGUUGGG
rnacentral:rRNA from 1 species